rnacentral:rRNA from 1 species
AUGUCUAGAAAGGGGAGAUUGGAGCUGGUCAAUACAGUCCUCACUGCUCUCACAACCUACCUAUUCACCAUUUUCCCUCCCCCUAAAUGGCUGCUCAGGAAGAUUGAUUGCUUCAGAAGAAGCUUCCUUUGGAGUGGGGAGGAGGACGCCGCUGGGAGCAAGUGCCUCGUCAACUGGAACAAAGUCUGCUCUCCCAAGGUUUAUGGUGGUUUAGGAAUAAAGGACCUAGAUUGAUACAACAGAGCCCUCAGAUUACAUUGGUUGUGGUUUGAAUGGGACGAGGAACCUAGGCCAUGGAAGGGACUUUCGGUGCCCUGUGACACAAUAGAUCGAAAUAUUUUUGCCGCCUGCACCAAGUUGGAACUGGGCAAUGGAGAAAGCAUCUCCUUCUGGUGGGACAUCUGGCUGCUGGACUGCCCGCUCAAGCUCUUUACACUUGAUCUGUUCAAACUAGCCUACAAAAAAGAAGAUAUGUGUGAAGGAGGGACUGCAAACCAACCGAUGGAUGAGAGGGCUACACCGAAUCACCACUGA